UUUGACUCUUACAUAUUAACAUUGUGAAGGAAAAAUCUUGGGAGAGUUACAGCGCUUCGCUAUAAUGAAAUAAAAUGCUAGUUAUUUUGAAGCGAACUAAAAAUUGUGAGAAGAACAGGAGGAUUUGAAAAGAUUUUUCAAAAGUUCGAAAGAUUACAUGAUUAAUGUAAAUUUUGGAUUUCCUCGCUGGUUAAUCUUAAUUCAUUACAACUACUGGUAGCAUGAUGAAUCAUCAGGAAUUUAUGCCAGUACUCUGUUAGAAGUUGGUGAAGUGAUUAAUUUUCAAUGAGAUUAAAGCAUAAUUUGUCUUGUGCAAAGGAGAUUAUAAUUUGCUGGCUUGUCAUUUUAAUCUUUAAUCAUAUUUUCGCAAAGGGAUUAAAAUGGUGGAUUUUUCGAGGGGAUUUUUAAUA
rnacentral:rRNA from 1 species